rnacentral:rRNA from 1 species
GUCCACGCCCUAAACGAUGUCUACUAGUUGUCGGGUCUUAAUUGACUUGGUAACGCAGCUAACGCGUGAAGUAGACCGCCUGGGGAGUACGGUCGCAAGAUUAAACUCAAAGGAAUUGACGGGACCCGCACAAGCGGUGGAUGAUGUGGAUUAAUUCGAUGCAACGCGAAACCUUACCUACCCUUGACAUGGCUGGAAUCCUGAAGAGAUUUAGGAGUGCUCGAAAGAGAACCAGUACACAGGUGCUGCAUGGCUGUCGU